rnacentral:lncRNA from 1 species
CCAAAAAGUGUUUUUUUUGCCCCAAAAUGCCCCCCCCCGACCCCCCCCCCCCAGGAGCUGCUGCGGUCGCUGCUCCCCGACAUCCUGACGGCCCUGCGCGCCCUGAUCGACGCCGACGAGGUACCUGGCCCCGGUGCUGGGGGCGCUGCGGAGGGGCCUGGGGGACCCCGAGGGCCUCGUGCGGGGGGCGGCCGCCUGCGCCCUGCGGAGCCUGGACGAGUGCCUGCAGGUACUGGGGGCACUGGGGUGUACUGGUCCGUACUGGGAGGGGCCUGGGGGGGCACUGGGAGGGCCCUGGGCGGGGCCUGGUUCAUACUGGGGGGCGCUGGGGGGGCUCUGGUUCAGACUGGGGGGCACUGGGAGGGCACUGGUGCAUACUGGGAGGCACUGGGAGGGCACUGGUCCAUACUGGGGUGGCUCAGGGUUGUACUGGGAGGCACUGGGAGGGCACUGGUCCAUACUGGGCUGGCUCAGGGUUGUACUGGGAGGGAUCUGGUGCAUACUGGGAGGCUCUUGGGGUGUACUGCGAGGGUCCCAAGCCAUACUGGUCCAUACUGGGGGGCACUGGGAGGGUCCUGGUCCAUACUGGGAGGCACUGGGAGGGUACUGGUUCAUACUGGGAGGCUCUUGGGAUGUAGUGGGAGGGUCCCAAGCCAUACUGGUCCAUACCGGGAGGGCUCUGGUCCAUACUGGGGGGCACUGGGAGGGCCCUGGUCCAUACUGGGAAGGUCCUGCCCCAUACUGGGAGGGCUCAGGGUUGAACUGGGAGGCACUGGGAGGGCCCUGGUCCAUACUGGGAGGGUCCCACGCCAUACUGGGAUGCGCUGGGAAGGCUCGGGGACAGACUGGGAAGCCCCUGGGAUGUACUGGGAGCUACUGGGAGGCUCCCAAUCCGUACUGGGAGGCUCCCAGUCCAUACUGGUCCAUACUGGGAGGCUCCCAGUCCAUACUGGUCCAUACUGGGAGGCUCCCGGUCCAUACCGGGAGGGCUCUAAUCCUUACUGGGAGGCGCUGGGGGGGGGCUGGGCGGCCCCAUGGCCCCUCCCUGGGCCCUUACUGGUCCGUACUGGUCGAUACUGGUUUAUACUGGUUUAUACUGGUUUAUACUGGUUUGUACUGGUGCAGCCCGAGGCGGGGGCGCUGGCCCUGGAGGCGCUGCCGGGGGCACUGCGGGCGCUGGGGGGGCCCCGGAGCUGGUUCGUGCUGGAGGCACUGGUGGAGAGCGCAGGUGGGGG